rnacentral:rRNA from 1 species
GACGAACGCUGGCGGCGUGCCUAAUACAUGCAAGUCGAACGCAGUGGGGACGGGUGAGUAACACGUGGGUAACCUCCCAUCAGAGGGGAUAACACUUGGAAACAGGUGCUAAACCGAUACUGAUGGAUGGACCCGCGGUGCAUUAGCUAGUUGGUGGGGUAACGGCGCACCAAGGCCACGAUGCAUAGCCGAUCGGAGAGGGUGAUCGCCCACACUGGGACCGGGACGCGGCCCAGACUCCUACGGGAGGCAGUAGUAGGGAAUAGUCGGCAAUGGACGAAAGUCUGACCGAGCAACGCCGCGUGAGUGAAGAAGGUUUUCGGAGCGUAAAUCUCUGUUGUUAGAGAAGCGGUAUCUAACCAGAAAGCCACGGCUAACUACGUGCCAGCAGCCGCGGUAAUUC